GGUAUUGAAAUAAGAUUUUAAAUGAGUGCUAAGAGAAUGGUAUAACAAUUAAUAACUUUCUUUAUUUUAAAAAUUAAAUUUAAUUUUUUUGUGAGGAAGCAAAAAUAAAAAUUAGGGACAAGAAGACCCUAUGAAUUUUAAAUUAAUAUGAAAUUAAUAAUUAGUAUUUAUAUUAAUUUUGUUGGGGCGACAGGAAAAGAAUAAUUAUCUUUUAAUAAUAAAUUAAUUUUGAUCCAUUAUUUAAUGAUUUAAUGAAAAAAAUACUCUAGGGAUAACAGCGUAAUAAUUUUGGAUAGUUCUUAUAGAUAAAAUAGUUUGCGACCUCGAUGUUGGAUUAGGAUUC
rnacentral:rRNA from 1 species